GCAUGGGUUUGGACUUAGGGCAGGCCUCUCCCUUGGGCCUCUCAUAGUGUCCUGUGCCAAAGCAAACUGUACCCGUGAACCAUUACCUGGCUUCUCCCCGUAGGCUGCUGGCACUGAAAUGGGGGGCACAGAG
ensembl:snoRNA